UGGGGAAUAUUGGACAAUGGGCGAAAGCCUGAUCCAGCCAUGCCGCGUGUGUGAAGAAGGUCUUCGGAUUGUAAAGCACUUUAAGUUGGGAGGAAGGGCAGUAAGCGAAUACCUUGCUGUUUUGACGUUACCGACAGAAUAAGCACCGGCUAACUCUGUGCCAGCAGCCGCGGUAAUACAGAGGGUGCAAGCGUUAAUCGGAAUUACUGGGCGUAAAGCGCGCGUAGGUGGUUCGUUAAGUUGAAUGUGAAAGCCCCGGGCUCAACCUGGGAACUGCGUCCAAAACUGGCGAGCUAGAGUAGGGCAGAGGGGGGUGGAAUUUCCUGUGUAGCGGUGAAAUGCGUAGAUAUAGGAAGGAACACCAGUGGCGAAGGCGACCACCUGGGCUCAUACUGACACUGAGGUGCGAAAGCGUGGGGAGCAAACAGG
rnacentral:rRNA from 1 species